CGCAGAGCUCGGCGCGGAGCCCUCUUCAGGUGUGGCCAAGAAGCAAGAAACAAACGUUUUUCAUCUUUAAACCAACACACAUUUGAAGAAGCUCAUUUGUC